rnacentral:rRNA from 1 species
AGUGAACGCUGGCGGUAGGCCUAACACAUGCAAGUCGAACGGCCGCACAGUAAGCGCUUGCUCUUACGGGUGGCGAGUGGCGGACGGGUGAGGAAUACAUCGGCAUCUACUUUUUCGUGGGGGAUAACGUAGGGAAACUUACGCUAAUACCGCAUACGUCCUACGGGUGAAAUCAGGGGAUCUUCGGACCUUGCCCGAUUGAAUGAGCCGAGGUCGGAUUAGCUAGUUGGAGGGGUAAGGGCCCACCAAGGCAACGAGCCGUAGCUGGUCUGAGCGGAGGAUCAGCCAAACUGGAAUUGAGACACGGUCCAGACUCCUAGGGGAGGCAGCAGUGGGGAUUAUUGGACAAUGGGCGCAAGCCUGAGCCAGCCAGCCCGGGUGGGUGAAGAAGGCUUUCGGGUGGUAAAGCCCUUUUGUUGGGAAAGAAAAGCAGCAGGUUAAUACCCCGCUGUUCUGACGGUACCCAAAGAAUAAGCACCGGCUAACUUCGU